AGCAGCCGCGGUAAUUCCAGCUCCAAUAGCGUAUAUUAAAGUUGUUGCAGUUAAAAGACUCGUAGUUGAAUUUCGGGAUCAAUUAGUCGGUCGUGCCUCUGGUACGUACUGGUUUUAUUGGUUCCUCCCUUCUGACGAAACAUGAUGUCAUUAAUUUGGUGUCGUGGAGAAUCAGGACUGUUACCUUGAAAAAAUUAGAGUGUUUAUAGCAGGCUAACGCUUGAAUACAUUAGCAUGGAAUAAUGAAAUAGGACGUUCGACCCUAUUUUGUUGGUUUCUAGGAUCGACGUAAUGAUUAAUAGGGAUAGUUGGGGGCAUUAGUAUUCAAUUGUCAGAGGUGAAAUUCUUGGAUUUAUUGAAGACUAACUACUGCGAAAGCAUUUGCCAAGGAUGUUUUCAUUAAUCAAGAACGAAAGUUAGGGAUCGAAGACGAUCAGAUACCGUCGUAGUCUUAACCAUAAACUAUGCCGAC
rnacentral:misc_RNA from 1 species